rnacentral:rRNA from 1 species
UACGGGGGGGCAAGCGUUGUUCGGAAUUACUGGGCGUAAAGGGCUCGGUAGGUGGCCAACUAAGUCAGACGUGAAAUCCCUCAGCUUAACUGGGGAACUGCGUCUGAUACUGGAUGGCUUGAGUUUGGGAGAGGGAUGCGGAAUUCCAGGUGUAGCGGUGAAAUGCGUAGAUAUCUGGAGGAACACCGGUGGCGAAGGCGGCAUCCUGGACCAACACUGACACUGAGGAGCGAAAGCCAGAGGAGCAAACGGG